UGAGUUCAAGCCUCAGAAUUCAGGCAGUUGC
rnacentral:piRNA from 1 species